UACAGAGGUCUCAAGCGUUGUUCGGAUUCAUUGGGCGUAAAGGGUGUGUAGGUGGCGCCGUAAGUCGAGUGUGAAAUCUCGGGGCUUAACUCCGAAACUGCAUUCGAUACUGCGGUGCUUGAGGACUGGAGAUGAGACUGGAAUUCAUGGUGUAGCAGUGAAAUGCGUAGAGAUCAUGAGGAAGACCAGUGGCGAAGGCGGGUCUCUGGACAGUUCCUGACACUGAGACACGAAGGCCAGGGGAGCAAACGGG
rnacentral:rRNA from 1 species